UUUUUUGUCAAUAGAAGUGCUCACCAAUAGUGAAAAUAAAGAAGGCAUGUGAUAGAGUUAGGAACAAUGGAAAAAUGUAAAAUGACUGAUUAUGAAGAAGUAUAUGAGUUUGUAUUGAAACAAAAUGGUAGAAUAUGGAUUACAAACUAGAAUCUCAAUUACAUUGACAAUCUCUUCCUCAGAAAUUCUCUAAUGGAGAUAACAACGGCUAAAAUAUACCAAAACAAGGAAACAAAGAAAGAAAUGGUUGCCAAGCAAACCCAGGAACAAUUCCUGUACUAGCAAAGCUAGUUCCCAGCUCACAACUGUCAAAAUAACCAAAUGAUUUCUGGAUGCCCAUCUUCUAUCUUCUCUUCAUUAUUUAUAGACUCUCCCCUGCUUCUAUUUGCUUCAAUUUGCACAUGUCACGUGAUUCCGUUACACCAGCUGGCACCACCAUUUCCCUCUAUUCCUUCUGUUAGCCUUCUCCUUAGAAUACUCCAUCCAUAUUCCUAUCAAUACCACCACCUCAAAAAUAUCCUUGUCCUCAAGGUUGUCUCGUAGACACGAGAAGUAAUUCAAGCCACGGAUUAUUUAGCAACGCCAGCAAUGGCACAAGAUCCUUAUAAAACAAGCAAUAAAUCUUUAGUUCCUGGGCUAGCAUCACUAAUGGUAACUUAAUCUCAAAUUUUUCCACCAAAUCAAUUUCAA
rnacentral:misc_RNA from 1 species